GACACUAUAGCUCAGUGGUAGAGCGUACGAUUGCAACUAAGUAGCUGCAAUCAUAUCGUGAUGUCCCGUGUUCGAACCACGGUAGUGUCU